rnacentral:rRNA from 1 species
ACGCUCGACACCUACGGGAGGCAGCAGGUGGGGAAUAUUGCACAAUGGGGGAAACCCUGAUGCAGCGACGCCGCGUGAGCGAAGAAGUAUCUCGGUAUGUAAAGCUCUAUCAGCAGGGAAGAAGAUGACGGUACCUGACUAAGAAGCACCGGCUAAAUACGUGCCAGCAGCUGCGGUAAUCUGAGGCGGGCUGGCGAAGGC